UUUUCUGCUCUUGUGAUGGUGGUGAUGUGAAUCUUCACAGAUAUUUUAAUUGUCUAAAAUGGCAUUUUCUUAAGAGUUAUCUACAGUUCAAAGCUCACUUUUAUGAGGUGUCACAUCCAUCACCAUUUUAAGAGACAUAAAAUCAUGAAAAGAUAUCACCAGAAGCUAUGUAAACAUUUCAGCUAAAGGUAAAGAGAAAGUUAAGUGUGUUUUCACAAGGAAACUGAAAGAGGACAAUCCAAAUGAAGUCAACACGGUCACACAAAAAUCUUGGUACAAGAACUAGAAUGGAAGCCCAAGCUGCUGAGCAAGUGGGAGAAGAAAAGAAAACAUUGUUCAAACAGAUCACACAAGGGAACCCUGGACAAAUGCUAACUUUGGCUUUAUCUAGGUAACCCCUAUUUUUUUGUCAUAGGUAACUCUAAUAAUAGACCUAUUGUUGCAAAACCAGUCCAAAUCCUACCUUAAAAAGAAGUCCCU